GGUUCCAUAGUACAGCAGUUAGCACGUCUGCUUUACACGCAGAAGGUCCUGGGUUCACACCCCAGUGGAGUCC
rfam:Pteropus alecto contig54525, whole genome shotgun sequence.